rnacentral:rRNA from 1 species
UACGUAGGGUCCGAGCGUUGUCCGGAAUUAUUGGGCGUAAAGAGCUCGUAGGCGGUUUGUCGCGUCUGCUGUGAAAUCCCGGGGCUCAACCUCGGGCCUGCAGUGGGUACGGGCAGACUGGAGUGCGGUAGGGGAGAAUGGAAUUCCUGGUGUAGCGGUGGAAUGCGCAGAUAUCAGGAGGAACACCAAUAGCGAAGGCAGCUCGCUGGGACGUUACUGACACUGAGGCGCGAAAGCGUGGGGAGCGAACAGG